UAGACCAAAGUGGGGGACCUUCGGGCCUCAUGCCAUCAGAUGUGCCCAGAUGGGAUUAGCUAGUAGGUGGGGUAACGGCUCACCUAGGCGACGAUCCCUAGCUGGUCUGAGAGGAUGACCAGCCACACUGGAACUGAGACACGGUCCAGACUCCUACGGGAGGCAGCAGUGGGGAAUAUUGCACAAUGGGCGCAAGCCUGAUGCAGCCAUGCCGCGUGUGUGAAGAAGGCCUUCGGGUUGUAAAGCACUUUCAGCGGGGAGGAAGGCGAUAAGGUUAAUAACCUCAUCGAUUGACGUUACCCGCAGAAGAAGCACCGGCUAACUCCGUGCCGGCAGCCGCGGUAAUACGGAGGGUGCAAGCGUUAAUCGGAAUUACUGGGCGUAAAGCGCACGCAGGCGGUCUGUCAAGUCGGAUGUGAAAUCCCCGGGCUCAACCUGGGAACUGCAUUCGAAACUGGCAGGCUAGAGUCUUGUAGAGGGGGGUAGAAUUCCAGGUGUAGCGGUGAAAUGCGUAGAGAUCUGGAGGAAUACCGGUGGCGAAGGCGGCCCCCUGGACAAAGACUGACGCUCAGGUGCGAAAGCGUGGGGAGCAAACAGGAUUAGAUACCCUGGUAGUCCACGCUGUAAACGAUGUCGAUUUGGAGGUUGUGCCCUUGAGGCGUGGCUUCCGGAGCUAACGCGUUAAAUCGACCGCCUGGGGAGUACGGCCGCAAGGUUAAAACUCAAAUGAAUUGACGGGGGCCCGCACAAGCGGUGGAGCAUGUGGUUUAAUUCGAUGCAACGCGAAGAACCUUACCUGGUCUUGACAUCCACAGAACUUUCCAGAGAUGGAUUGGUGCCUUCGGGAACUGUGAGACAGGUGCUGCAUGGCUGUCGUCAGCUCGUGUUGUGAAAUGUUGGGUUAAGUCCCGCAACGAGCGCAACCCUUAUCCUUUGUUGCCAGCGGUCCGGCCGGGAACUCAAAGGAGACUGCCAGUGAUAAACUGGAGGAAGGUGGGGAUGACGUCAAGUCAUCAUGGCCCUUACGACCAGGGCUACACACGUGCUACAAUGGCAUAUACAAAGAGAAGCGACCUCGCGAGAGCAAGCGGACCUCAUAAAGUAUGUCGUAGUCCGGAUUGGAGUCUGCAACUCGACUCCAUGAAGUCGGAAUCGCUAGUAAUCGUAGAUCAGAAUGCUACGGUGAAUACGUUCCCGGGCCUUGUACACACCGCCCGUCACACCAUGGGAGUGGGUUGCAAAAGAAGUAGGUAGCUUAACCUUCGGGAGGGCGCUUACCACUUUGUGAUUCAUGACUGGGGUGAAGUCGUAACAAGGUAGCCGU
rnacentral:rRNA from 1 species